UUAGGUGAUCCUAACUAACCUACAGCAGUUAAGAGAGACAGUGUACUGAUCUUGGAAGCUAAGCAGGGUGGGCCUGGUUAGUACUUGGAUGGGAGACCACUUAAGAAUACCGGGUGCUACAGGCU
rnacentral:rRNA from 1 species